UACGUAGGCAGCAAGCGUUGUUCGGAAUUACUGGGCGUAAAGCGCGCGUAGGCGGAUCUGCAAGUCGGGGGUGAAAUCCCGAGGCUCAACCUCGGAACUGCCUUCGAUACUGCGGGUCUCGAGUCCGGGAGAGGUGAGUGGAAUUCCUAGUGUAGAGGUGAAAUUCGUAGAUAUUAGGAAGAACACCAGUGGCGAAGGCGGCUCACUGGCCCGGUACUGACGCUGAGGCGCGAAAGCGUGGGGAGCAAACAGG
rnacentral:rRNA from 1 species